rnacentral:rRNA from 1 species
CCUACGGGAGGCAGCAGUGGGGAAUAUUGGGCAAUGGACGCAAGUCUGACCCAGCAACGCCGCGUGAAGGAAGAAGGCUUUCGGGUUGUAAACUUCUUUUAAGGGGGAAGAGCAGAAGACGGUACCCCUUGAAUAAGCCACGGCUAACUACGUGCCAGCAGCCGCGGUAAUACGUAGGUGGCAAGCGUUGUCCGGAUUUACUGGGUGUAAAGGGCGUGCAGCCGGGGAGCAAAGUCAGAUGUGAAAUCCGCGGGCUCAACCCGCGAAAUGAAUUUGAAACUGUUUCCCUUGAGUAUCGGAGAGGGCAUCGGAAGUCCUAGUGUAGCGGUGAAAUGCGGAGAUAUUAGGAAGAACACCAGUGGCGAAGGCGGAUGACUGGACGACAACUGACGGUGAGGCGCGAAAGCGUGGGGAGCAAACAGGAUUAGAUACCCCAGUAGUC